rnacentral:rRNA from 1 species
UACGAAGGGGGCUAGCGUUGCUCGGAAUCACUGGGCGUAAAGGGUGCGUAGGCGGGUCUUUAAGUCAGGGGUGAAAUCCUGGAGCUAAACUCCAGAACUGCCUUUGAUACUGAAGAUCUUGAGUUCGGGAGAGGUGAGUGGAACUGCGAGUGUAGAGGUGAAAUUCGUAGAUAUUCGCAAGAACACCAGUGGCGAAGGCGGCUCACUGGCCCGAUACUGACGCUGAGGCACGAAAGCGUGGGGAGCAAACGGG